rnacentral:rRNA from 1 species
CGCCUGGGGAGUGCGCCGCAAGGUUAAAACUCAAAUGAAUUGACGGGGGCCCGCACAAGCGGUGGAGCAUGUGGUUUAAUUCGACGCAACGCGAAGAACCUUACCCGGCCUUGACAUCCAGAGAGCUUUCCAGAGAUGGAUUGGUGCCUUCGGGAACUCUGAGACAGGUGCUGCAUGGCCGUCGUCAGCUCGUGUCGUGAGAUGUUGGGUUAAGUCCCGUAACGAGCGCAACCCCUAUCCCUGGUUGCUAGCAGGUAAUGCUGAGAACUCCAGGGAGACUGCCGGUGACAAACCGGAGGAAGGUGGGGAUGACGUCAGGUCAUCAUGGCCCUUACGGCCAGGGCUACACACGUGCUACAAUGGCGCGUACAGAGGGCUGCCAACUCGCGAGAGUGAGCCAAUCCCUUAAAACGCGUCGUAGUCCGGAUCGGAGUCUGCAACUCGACUCCGUGAAGUCGGAAUCGCUAGUAAUCGCGAAUCAGAAUGUCGCGGUGAAUACGUUCCCGGGCCUUGUACACACCGCCCGUCACACCAUGGGAGUGGAUUGCACCAGAAGUAGUUAGUCUAACCUUCGGGAGGACGAUUACCACGGUGUGGUUCAUGACUGGGGUGAAGUCGUAACAAGGUAACCGUA